UGCCAGCCGCCGCGGUAAUACGGAGGGGGUUAGCGUUGUUCGGAAUUACUGGGCGUAAAGCGUACGUAGGCGGAUUAGUAAGUUAGAGGUGAAAUCCCAGGGCUCAACCCUGGAACUGCCUUUAAAACUGCUAGUCUUGAGAUCGAGAGAGGUGAGUGGAAUUCCAAGUGUAGAGGUGAAAUGCGUAGAUAUUAGGAAGAACACCAAUGGCGAAGGCACUCUACCUGGUCCGGAUCUGACGCUGAGGCGCGAAAGCGUGGGGAGCAAACAGGAUUAGAUA
rnacentral:rRNA from 1 species